rnacentral:rRNA from 1 species
UACAGCACCCCGAGUGGUCGGGACGUUUAUUGGGCCUAAAGCAUCCGUAGCCGGUUCUACAAGUCUUCCGUUAAAUCCACCUGCUUAACAGAUGGGCUGCGGAAGAUACUAUGGAGCUAGGAGGCGGGAGAGGCAAGCGGUACUCGAUGGGUAGGGGUAAAAUCCGUUGAUCCAUUGAAGACCACCAGUGGCGAAGGCGGCUUGCCAGAACGCGCUCGACGGUGAGGGAUGAAAGCUGGGGGAGCAAACCGG